CCUACGGGAGGCAGCAGUGAGGAAUAUUGGUCAAUGGGCGCGAGCCUGAACCAGCCAAGUCGCGUGAGGGAGGACGGCCCUACGGGUUGUAAACCUCUUUUGCCGGGGAGCAACGGGCGUCACGUGUGGCGCCACUGAGUGUACCCGGAGAAAAAGCAUCGGCUAACUCGGUGCCAGCAGACGCGGUAAUACGGAGGAUGCGAGCGUUAUCCGUAUUUAUUGUGUUUAAAGGGUGCGUAGGCGGAGCGUUAAGUCAGUGGUCAAAUUGAGGGUCUCAACCCCUUCCCGCCAUUGAAACUGGCGUUCUUGAGUGGAAGAGAAGUAUGCGGAAUGCGUGGUGUGGCGGUGAAAUGCAUAGCUAUCACGCAGAACCCCGAUUGCGAAGGCAGCAUGCCGGCUUCCGACUGACGCUGAAGCACGAAAGCGUGGGGAUCGAACAGGAUUAGAUACCCUUGUAGUC
rnacentral:rRNA from 1 species